rnacentral:tRNA from 2 species
GUCCCUGUAGCUUACAACAAAGCAUGGCACUGAAGAUGCCAAGACGGCUUCUCAUCGACCCCGGGGACA